UACGGAGGGGGCUAGCGUUGUUCGGAAUUACUGGGCGUAAAGCGCACGUAGGCGGCUUUGUAAGUUAGAGGUGAAGGCCCGGAGCUCAACUCCAGAACUGCCUUUAAGACUGCAUCGCUUGAACGUCGGAGAGGUAAGUGGAAUUCCGAGUGUAGAGGUGAAAUUCGUAGAUAUUCGGAAGAACACCAGUGGCGAAGGCGACUUACUGGACGACUGUUGACGCUGAGGUGCGAAAGCGUGGGGAGCAAACAGG
rnacentral:rRNA from 1 species